rnacentral:rRNA from 1 species
UACGGGGGGGGCAAGCGUUGUUCGGAAUUACUGGGCGUAAAGCGUGCGCAGGCGGUUUUGUAAGCCAGAUGUGAAAGCCCCGGGCUCAACCUGGGAAUGGCAUUUGGGACUGCAAGGCUUGAGUGCGGCAGAGGAGACUGGAAUUCCUGGUGUAGCAGUGAAAUGCGUAGAUAUCAGGAGGAAUACCGAUGGCGAAGGCAGGUCUCUGGGCUGACACUGACGCUCAUGCACGAAAGCGUGGGGAGCGAACAGG